GGUGGCAUGUUUCACUAUGGGAAAGAAAUCAGAUUUUGCUGGGUCUUUUUUUGAGAUGGGAAAACGAUCGAAAGGAGCAGGAGACACUUGAGAGGCAGACGGCAUCGUGAAUAGGACCCAUAAAAAUCCAGUUAAGUUGACGCUGAAACUAUGUGACAACAUAGGCGUUGUCCACCCCGGCAGUCAGAGGGUGGAGGAUGUCUGCAAGGAAAGAUAACCAAGAAAAUAACAGAUAGAGAUGUUUUUCUGUUUUUCUGUAACUGUGAUAUCUUCUAGUCAGAGAAGCACUCAUACUCUGUACAUGCCUAAAUGCUUAGCUUCUUAUUGGUUGUUGCAUUUUCAGAACUGUAUUAUGAUUGGUGAGAAAGUUCUGCCAUGGUAUCUAAGGGGAACUGACUCUAUAAAUAUGUUGACAUUUCCUGAAAUUAUUGGGCAGUUUCCUCAGACUGCCACCUUGCAGCGCUGCUCGUAAUAAACCUUCUAAAGAGAGAGAAA